rnacentral:rRNA from 1 species
UACGGGGGGAGCAAGCGUUGUUCGGAUUUACUGGGCGUAAAGGGCGCGUAGGCGGUCAGCACAAGUCAGUUGUGAAAUCUCCGGGCUUAACUCGGAAAGGUCAACUGAUACUGUGCGACUAGAGUGCGGAAGAGGCAACUGGAAUUCUCGGUGUAGCGGUGAAAUGCGUAGAUAUCGAGAGGAACACCUGCGGCGAAGGCGGGUUGCUGGGCCGACACUGACGCUGAUGCGCGAAAGCCAGGGGAGCGAACGGG